UUACGGUCAAAUCACGCUGAAAACACCGGUUCUCGUUCGAUCACCGAAGUUAAGCAUCAGUACUUAGAUGGGGGACCGCUUUGGAACACCUGGUACUGUAAG